rnacentral:tRNA from 1 species
GGAGAGGUCGCACAGCCUGGCCUAGUGCGCCGGUCUCGAAAAUCGGCAAGGAGAAAUCCUUCGUGGGUUCGAAUCCCACCCUCUCCG